GUCCAGACUCCUACGGGAGGCAGCAGUGGGGAAUAUUGCACAAUGGGGGAAACCCUGAUGCAGCGGCGCCGCGUGAGCGAUGAAGUAUUUCGGUAUGUAAAGCUCUAUCAGCAGGGAAGAAGAUGACGGUACCUGACUAAGAAGCCCCGGCUAACUACGUGCCAGCAGCCGCGGUAAUACGUAGGGGGCAAGCGUUAUCCGGAUUUACUGGGUGUAAAGGGAGCGUAGACGGCGAUGCAAGCCAGAUGUGAAAGCCCGGGGCUCAACCCCGGGACUGCAUUUGGAACUGUGUGGCUGGAGUGUCGGAGAGGCAGGCGGAAUUCCUAGUGUAGCGGUGAAAUGCGUAGAUAUUAGGAGGAACACCAGUGGCGAAGGCGGCCUGCUGGACGAUGACUGACGUUGAGGCUCGAAAGCGUGGGGAGCAAACAGGAUUAGAUACCCCAGUA
rnacentral:rRNA from 1 species